AAGGUUGUUCUAACAAGUCUGAUACAGUCAUGAUAUAACAAGAAUGUUACAAGGUUGACAACACAAGGUUGUAACAGUAUUGUUAUAUCAUGACUAUAUCGAUAGUCAUGAUAUAACAAUAUUGUUACAACCGUGUGUCGUCACAACCUUGUAACAUUCUUGUUAUAUCAUGACUGUAUGAGACUUGUUAGAACAACUUU
rnacentral:miRNA from 1 species